rnacentral:rRNA from 1 species
GAUAUGGCUCAGGAUGAACGCUAGCUACAGGCUUAACACAUGCAAGUCGAGGGGCAGCAUUUCAGUUUGCUUGCAAACUGGAGAUGGCGACCGGCGCACGGGUGAGUAACACGUAUCCAACCUGCCGAUAACUCGGGGAUAGCCUUUCGAAAGAAAGAUUAAUACCCGAUGGCAUAAUUAGACCGCAUGGUCUUAUUAUUAAAGAAUUUCGGUUAUCGAUGGGGAUGCGUUCCAUUAGGCAG